rnacentral:rRNA from 1 species
AAGCGGCGAACGGGUGAGUAACACGUGGUUAACCUACCGAGAUGUGGGGGAUACCCCGGAGAAAUUCGGGACAAUACCGCAUACAGUCUUCUGGACGUCGGUCUGGAAGAGCAAAGCCGGGGAUCGUAAGACCUGGCGCAUUUCGAGGGGACCGCGGCCGAUUAGCUAGUUGGCGGGGUAAUGGCCCACCAAGGCUUCGAUCGGUAGCCGGCCUGAGAGGGUGAACGGCCACACCGGAACUGAGACACGGUCCGGACUCCUACGGGAGGCAGCAGUGGGGAAUUUUGCGCAAUGGGCGAAAGCCUGACGCAGCAACGCCGCGUGGAGGAUGAAGGUUCUCUGAAUCGUAAACUCCUGUCGGCCGGGAAGAAUGGGCAGGGUGCUAAUCAGCCCUGUUUUGACUGUACCGGCAAAGGAAGCCCCGGCUAACUCCGUGCCAGCAGCCGCGGUAAUACGGGGGGGGCAAGCGUUACUCGGAAUUAUUGGGCGUAAAGGGCGCGUAGGCGGUCGUGUGCGUCGGAGGUGAAAUCCCCAGGCUUAACCUGGGAACUGCCUCCGAUACGGCAUGGCUUGAGUCCGGGAGAGGGGAGCAGAAUUCCCAGUGUAGCGGUGAAAUGCGUAGAUAUUGGGAGGAAUACCAGUGGCGAAGGCGGCUCCCUGGACCGGUAC